AAACUUUCAACAACGGAUCUCUUGGCUCUGGCAUCGAUGAAGAACGCAGCGAAAUGCGAUACGUAAUGUGAAUUGCAGAAUUCAGCGAACCAUCGAAUCUUUGAACGCAUCAUUGCGCCCGCCAGCAUUCUGGCGGGCAUGCCUGUCCGAGCGUCAUUU
rnacentral:rRNA from 1 species